rnacentral:rRNA from 1 species
CGACGGCAGCACGGGAGCAAUCCUGGUGGCGAGUGGCGAACGGGUGAGUAAUAUAUCGGAACGUGCCCAGUCGUGGGGGAUAACGUAGCGAAAGUUACGCUAAUACCGCAUACGAUCUAUGGAUGAAAGCGGGGGAUCGCAAGACCUCGCGCGAUUGGAGCGGCCGAUAUCAGAUUAGGUAGUUGGUGAGGUAAAGGCUCACCAAGCCUUCGAUCUGUAGCUGGUCUGAGAGGACGACCAGCCACACUGGGACUG